UACGUAGGGUGCAAGCGUUGUCCGGAAUUAUUGGGCGUAAAGAGCUCGUAGGCGGUUCGUCGCGUCGGCUGUGAAAUCCCGGAGCUCAACUCCGGGUCUGCAGUCAAUACGGGCGGACUUGAGUACUGCAGGGGAGACUGGAAUUCCUGGUGUAGCGGUGAAAUGCGCAGAUAUCGGGAAGAACACCCGUGGCGAAGGCGGCUCUCUGGGACGGUACUGACGCUGAGACGCGAAAGCGUGGGGAGCGAACAGG
rnacentral:rRNA from 1 species